rnacentral:rRNA from 1 species
UUUUGCAUAUCAAUAUGCGGAGGAAAAGAAACCAACAGGGAUUGCCUUAGUAGCGGCGAGUGAAGCGGCAAAAGCUCAAAUUUGAAAUCUGGCACUUUCAGUGUCCGAGUUGUAAUUUGAAGAAGGUAUCUUUGGGUCUGGCUCUUGUCUAUGUUUCUUGGAACAGAACGUCACAGAGGGUGAGAAUCCCGUGCGAUGAGAUGUCCCAGACCUAUGUAAAGUUCCUUCGAAGAGUCGAGUUGUUUGGGAAUGCAGCUCUAAGUGGGUGGUAAAUUCCAUCUAAAGCUAAAUAUUGGCGAGAGACCGAUAGCGAACAAGUACAGUGAUGGAAAGAUGAAAAGAACUUUGAAAAGAGAGUGAAAAAGUACGUGAAAUUGUUGAAAGGGAAGGGCUUGAGAUCAGACUUGGUAUUUUGUAUGUUACUCUCUCGGGGGUGGCCUCUACAGUUUACCGGGCCAGCAUCAGUUUGAGCGGUAGGAUAAGUGCAAAGAAAUGUGGCACUGCUUCGGUAGUGUGUUAUAGUCUUUGUCGAUACUGCCAGCUUAGACUGAGGACUGCGGCUUCGGCCUAGGAUGUUGGCAUAAUGAUCUUAAGUCGCCCGUCUUGAAACACGGACCAA